CACAAUCAUAGAGAUGGAUAGCAGAUUAGAGGCUGCUGUGGAUUAGGGAUGAAAGGAGAAUGGGUGGAGAUCCAGUAGCAAGUACACCCCUGGAGUUGUGGCCUGAGAAGAAUUACUACACAAACCUAGGAGACCCAGAUUUGAAUCACCUGUUCCAAGGCACAUCUUCCAAGAUAAAACCCAGUCUGCUUAUUGAAUGCAGAGCACAAGAAAUCAGCUGAUGGUGUUCAGAGCUGGGAUGAAGAUGCCUCUGAGCCUUUGCUUCCUUCUGCGCAUGUGGAAGCAAGAAUAGUGCCUCCAGGGCUCUAGCGAGGACCGAAUGAGGUAAUGUGGGCCAUGUACGCUCCCGGCUCAAUAAAUUUGAGUGCUCUCUCCCUUCUCUUUUAUAACGCACUUUCUGAAAUGGAAAUAAAAUAUGAAAACAGAAAAAA
rnacentral:lncRNA from 1 species